rnacentral:rRNA from 1 species
AACGAACGCUGGCGGCAGGCCUAACACAUGCAAGUCGAACGCACCGCAAGGUGAGUGGCGCACGGGUGAGUAACACGUGGGAAUGUAUCCUUUGGUUCGGAAUAACGUCUGGAAACGGACGCUAAUACCGGAUGAGCCCUUAGGGGGAAAGAUUUAUCGCCGAAGGAGCAGCCCGCGUCUGAUUAGGUAGUUGGUGGGGUAAAGGCCUACCAAGCCGACGAUCAGUAGCUGGUCUGAGAGGAUGAUCAGCCACACUGGGACUGAGACACGGCCCAGACUCCUACGGGAGGCAGCAGUGGGGAAUAUUGGACAAUGGGCGCAAGCCUGAUCCAGCCAUGCCGCGUGAGUGAUGAAGGCCUUCGGGUUGUAAAGCUCUUUCGCACACGACGAUGAUGACGGUAGUGUGAGAAGAAGCCCCGGCUAACUUCGUGCCAGCCGCCGCCGUAACAC